UUUAUGGAGAGUUUGAUCCUGGCUCAGGAUGAACGCUGGCGGCGUGCCUAAUACAUGCAAGUCGAGCGAACAGAUAAGGAGCUUGCUCCUUUGACGUUAGCGGCGGACGGGUGAGUAACACGUGGGUAACCUACCUAUAAGACUGGAAUAACUCCGGGAAACCGGGGCUAAUGCCGGAUAACAUGUUGAACCGCAUGGUUCUACAGUGAAAGACGGUCUUGCUGUCACUUAUAGAUGGACCCGCGCCGUAUUAGCUAGUUGGUGGGGUAACGGCCUACCAAGGCGACGAUACGUAGCCGACCUGAGAGGGUGAUCGGCCACACUGGAACUGAGACACGGUCCAGACUC
rnacentral:rRNA from 1 species